rnacentral:rRNA from 1 species
AGCGAACGCUGGCGGCAGGCCUAACACAUGCAAGUCGAACGAACUCUUCGGAGUUAGUGGCGGACGGGUGAGUAACACGUGGGAACGUGCCUUUUGGUUCGGAAUAACUCAGGGAAACUUGUGCUAAUACCGAAUGUGCCCUUCGGGGGAAAGAUUUAUCGCCAUUAGAGCGGCCCGCGUCUGAUUAGCUAGUUGGUGAGGUAACGGCUCACCAAGGCGACGAUCAGUAGCUGGUCUGAGAGGAUGACCAGCCACACUGGGACUGAGACACGGCCCAGACUCCUACGGGAGGGAGCAGAGGGGAAUCUUGCGCAAUGGGCGAAAGCCUGACGCAGCCGUGCCGCGUAAAUGAUGAAAGUCUUAGGAUAGUAAAAUUCUUUCACCGGGGACGAUAAUGACGGUACCCGGAGAAGAAGCCCCGGCUAACUUCGUG